rnacentral:rRNA from 1 species
GAGUUUGAUCAUGGCUCAGAUUGAACGCUGGCGGCAUGCCUUACACAUGCAAGUCGAGCGGCAGCGCGGGGGCAACCCUGGCGGCGAGCGGCGAACGGGUGAGUAAUACAUCGGAACGUGUCCUGUCGUGGGGGAUAACCAGUCGAAAGAUUGGCUAAUACCGCAUGACCUCGUAAGAGAAAAGCGGGGGACCGUAAGGCCUCGCGCGACUGGAGCGGCCGAUGUCGGAUUAGCUAGUUGGCGGGGUAAAAGCCCACCAAGGCGACGAUCCGUAGCUGGUUUGAGAGAACGACCAGCCACACUGGGACUGAGACACGGCCCAGACUCCUACGGGAGGCAGCAGUGGGGAAUUUUGGACAAUGGGGGCAACCCUGAUCCAGCCAUGCCGCGUGUGUGAAGAAGGCCUCGGUUGUAAG